CAAGCAGCAGUUUUGUCGCCAAAAUCAAAUUUUCUAUAAGCCAUUACAAUAUUUCAUUUUUUUUUUUUUUUUUGUAGUUGACUUUUAUUUAAUUUCAUAGGAAUUAAGGGUACUUAAGAAUUUUUCAUCAUUGAAAGCAAUUAUAUCAGGUCUACAAUCAAAUUCUGUGUUUCGAUUAAAAAAAACAUGGCAUUCUCUUCCUAGAGAUAAGGUAUUAGUGAUUUAAAUAUUCAAAUCAUAAUAGUAAAUUUUUUUAAUCCAGUUAUCUUUUAAAAAAUAAUAUUUGUUCUUAAAGCUGGAAUUGUUUCAAGAACUUGCAAGAAUAUUUAGUGAAGAAAAUAACCAGUGGGCCCAAAGAAAAUUGUUAAUAAAGGAGGGUACAGCUAAAUUUGCUGACACAUUUGGACACAAUGAUAGGCAUUUACAAAAAUUAAUUCAAAAACAACAAAGUACUAUGAGUGUAAGUUACCAGUUGUAAUAAAAAAUUAUACUAAUAUUUAUAUAUUAGUAUUGCAGGUUAUGUAACGCACAUUUUAAUAAUUAUUAUUUAAUAUUAAAUCAAUAUAAUUCAAUUUCUUAGUAUUAUUGUUUUUUAAAAAAAAAAUAUUGAUUUUAUGUAGAAAUUAAACAUUGGAACUAUUCCAUACUUGGGGACAUUUCUUACUGAUUUAACUAUGAUUGAUGCAGCCAUCCCUGAUAUUUUACCAGAUGGUUUAAUCAACUUUGAUAAAAAACGAAAAGAAUUUGAAGUUUUAGCUCAGGUAUGUAUUGUUUAGAUUUUAAUUUGAUAAAUAUUAAAAUGUUUACUGAAGUUGAUAAUAGUUUGGAAUGUUUACAAAUAUUAUUUUUUUUUUGUUUUAGAUCAAGCUUUUGCAAGGUGCUGCUAAUUCAUAUAAUAUAUCUGAUGAUGUAGUAUUUGACCAAUGGUUUCACUCAAUAUUAGUUUUGGAUGACAGAGAAGCAUUUAGAAUUUCUUGUCAAAUAGAAAUUCCAGACAAUUUACCUCCAUCCUGUACAAAUUCAAUUAUUGGAACAGGAAAGAAACAAAAGUAUAUAAAAUAUGAUAUUAUGUAAAAACAUUAAAAUUUCAAAAUGAUAAAUCUAAUCAAGUGAUAAUAUUUGAAUAAUGUCAUUACAGUUAUGAACAUAAGAAAAAUGAUUCAAUUUCUAG
rnacentral:lncRNA from 1 species